UCCUGGUUAGCUUAUAGUUGAUAGAUCGCUCCACUGGAAAUGGGGAGGUCCCUGGUUCAAUACCAGGACCAGGCG
rnacentral:tRNA from 1 species